UGAUGGGCUGGCAGUCUUGAAGAACACGCGAUAAUAUUUGCUCUCUAAACUGCUGAGGAGUAGCGCUGCUCAGGGGUAGUGAUCGGACUCCCGAGUCUCCACGGGAAUAAAGUCCCGGCGUCUCAGAUCAACUCAAGCUGUCUCAGAGACCGGAUGGGACCUCAGCUGCUCUUUAUCGUCGUUAUCGGUUGCGUUAUGCUGGGUGUUCGGCAUGCAGAAGGAUCUGAAGCUAAACAAUGUCCCAAGGACAGCUACAAAACCGAAGAUGACGUGUGCUGCGAUCUCUGCCCUGCAGGAACAUUCAAGGCAGAAGACUGUUUGACUGAUGGAGGAAUCCGUAAAUGUAUUCCAUGCAUUCAAAGGAAAUUUUACACUGACAAGCCAAAUAAUGAAUCCGCUUGCUUCGACUGCACACCAUGUGCAGAGGGAGAGGAGAUUGUACAAGAAUGUAGGAAAGAACAAAACUCAAUUUGCCAAUGUAAAUAAGGAUAUUACAGAUCGAAUGGACAGUGUGUACGCAAUAAUGAAGUUGCAUUGCGCGGGGGAUUGAUUGCAAUGGCGAUAAUCGCCUGCAUCAGCAUCAUCGUCAUCAUCAUCUCUCUUUGGAGGUGUAAAGCAACAGCUCGAGCACGAACAAAUCUUCGACAAGGUACGUUUUUUAAACAAAUAUUUGAUACAUUUGAAUUAGAUUGGCAUCGUCUAUUUAGAGAUAUUUUAAUGCGUGGC